rnacentral:rRNA from 1 species
CAGUCGCCACGGGAAUAAAGAGGAUGCUAGCGUUAUCCGGAAUGAUUGGGCGUAAAGCGUCUGUAGGUGGCUUUGUAAGUUAGAGGUGAAAGCCCAGAGCUCAACUCUGGAAUUGCCUUUAAGACUGCAUCGCUUGAAUCAGGAGAGGUGAGUGGAAUUCCGAGUGUAGAGGUGAAAUGCGUAGAUAUUCGGAAGAACACCAGUGGCGAAGGCGGCUCACUGGACUGGUAUUGACGCUGAGGUGCGAAAGCGUGGGGAGCAAACAGGAUUAGAGACCCCCGUAGUCCCUGUCUCUUAUACC